rnacentral:rRNA from 1 species
CGGUAGCCGGACUGAGAGGUGAGUCGGCCACAUUGGGACUGAGACACGGCCCAGACUCCUACGGAAGGCAGCAG